ACCUGGAUGGCUCAGUUGGUUGAGCAUCUUACUUCAGCUCAGAUCGUAAUUUCACGGUUCGUGGGUUCAAGCCCCAUGUCGGGCU
rnacentral:tRNA from 1 species